AGGACGAACGCUGGCGGCGUGCCUAACACAUGCAAGUCGAGCGGAACUAAUAGCAAUAUAGUUAGCGGCGGACGGGUGAGUAACGCGUGGGUAACCUGCCUUACACAGGGGGAUAACACAGGGAAACUUGUGCUAAUACCGCAUAACAUCAUCGUAUGGCAUCAUACGGUGAUCAAAGGAGCAAUCCGGUGAAAGAUGGACCCGCGUCCGAUUAGCUAGUUGGCGGUGUAACGGACCACCAAGGCGACGAUCGGUAGCCGAACUGAGAGGUUGAUCGGCCACAUUGGGACUGAGACACGGCCCAGACUCCUACGGGAGGCAGCAGUGGGGAAUAUUGCGCAAUGGGGGAAACCCUGACGCCAGCAACGCCGCGUGAAGGAUGAAGGUCUUCGGAUUGUAAACUUCUUUGAUGAGGGACGAAUAAUGACGGUACCUCAAAAACAAGCCACGGCUAACUACGUGCCAGCCGCAGC
rnacentral:rRNA from 1 species